ACCCCCCCUCUGCUUGAACUUUCUUCUUCACCAUUAGAACACCAAAACAAAAAAUCUUCUUCUUCUGAACUCCAGCGGCAGCCUCGACAAACCAUGCCCCAACCCUGAACUCCUCAUCUCCUAACCCACUGCUGCAAACUUCACACUAGUACACCCCUUCGUCAUCGUCAUUCUUCUUCAUCUCACAGCAGAUCGGCUACUGCUCUUUGACCACCAAAAAUGGCCGAAAAUCGGCAACCACACACACACGCACAGUAAGAGGAACAGAUGAGUACGGACAAUAAGAGGAGGGAACAGAAACAGAGUCAAAACAAAAAUAUGUAUUUUGUUCUCUUCUUUGAUUUUGCGAUUGAUUUUGAAAUUGGAGCUACUGUUCUUUGAAUUUUUGUUCUAAAAAUGGAGUUCGAUUGAUAUGCUGAGGUUCUAUCCGAGGUUCCGUUGUAUAGCUUUUUGGUCGCUGCUGGAAUUUGCAUAUCCAGAUUCAUUUGUACCUCUGCUAAUUAUUUCAAACAUUAAUUGAAAGCUCGCUUCAGGUUCAUUUUUGUUUCCUUUAGUUUUAUUUUGGUGUGAUUUCAACUGGAUAAGAACCUAGCUAGCAGAAUAAUUGAAUUAAACCUGCUUCUUCGAAUUGUAUCGAGAUGUUCUAUUACUGUCUUUGUGUUCAAAGUGUGCUAGAAAUCAGAAUUCGUCGUGUUGUCAUUAAAAUAUUCUCUAAUUAAUUGUUAUGAUAAGGAAGAACAUUAUUACGAGUUGAAAUUCCAUAAGUUCUGGCUAAAUGGAAUAGUAUUUCUAUACUUAGUUUCGCAUUUAUAUGAGAAAUCUAGUCUAAAAGGGCAUUGUAACGUGUUUGAUGUCCCGCGGAUACACGUUCUAUCUCGUUUGAAUAGUAAAUUUGAAUCAAAUGGCAUAUAGGGUUUCUAAGAUGAGCUUCAUUGCUCAUUUGUUGGAAUUCUUCCCUUGGCAGCAUAAAUAGCUAAUUGAUCUUAUUGUUUCGCACUCGAGUUCUCUGGAAUGAUAAGCUGUUGUUCAUGUGUGUCUGUACAAGAAUGUAUUUUCAUCUGGUUCUGAUUUAUUAAAUUGUUUAGCUUUAAUUAAUUCCCGUUUGAGUCAGAGAUUGAGAUGGUGUAAUGAGUAGGCGUGUCAAUUUAAGAUGGUCUGUUGUGAUUCCCUCAAAGUUCUUGGUCACUUCUUAACCAAUAACAAUCGUGUGAAAUCCAGUUUUUCUUCUGUUUGCUUUAACCCCUUAUGAUACUCAAGCAUGUCAAUUUAUGAAACAGCCAAUUGCUGAUUGAUCAUUGAAUGACCAUGAAAGAAUGUUCAGAUAGUUGAGCGCUCAGUGAAUUGUAUGAUCCUAUAGAUAGUUUGAGCAGUAAAUGUUCUAGAUAAAGUGCACCGUUGCACCACUAGUCAUUGCUCAUAUUGUCCAGAGAUCUAUGAUAUUGUCUAUACAUGUCUUAAAGUCCUGAAAUGUGAUGAAUACUAUGUGAAUAUGCUUGGAUUGGUAUGUAGGGAAAGCUUUUGAUUCAUAUGGAAUAAGUGUGAGCAUGUGAGUAAUUUAUUCUAAUCUCCCCUUUGGGGCUUAGUCUGUUCUGGUGCAUUGGACUUGAAUAACUAACAACCUUGCUUUGUGUCUCGAUAUCAGUUGGAUUUAAUAAAGUCAAGGGAUGAUAUACAGGGAUGUGGUUUAAAGGGA
rnacentral:lncRNA from 1 species